AGUCCAGAUUCUCUAACAAUCAGAGUAUCAAACACGCUUUAUUGACUCGUUCUCUCCCGCAGCUCGUCUCUCUUCUCGAUCUCUCCGCUCUCUCUUUCCGCUCGUCUCUCUCUUCAUCUCUUUAGAUAAAAAUGAAGUCGAUUUCACUCGUUCUCGUAAAAUUGGAGCAAAGCCCUCACAAAUCACCAGGAUUUUGAAUUAAAUGUGGGGUUUAUUCAAUUGAUUUGUGCUUGAAUCAAAAUUGGGGGUUUUCAUGCCUUUGAUUUGGGGGGUUUUUGGUUAUAUUGUUUCUUUUCUUAGAUCCCUCAACUCUAUCUCUAAUUUGUUUUAUAUCUUUGUUCUGUUUUAGGCUGGCUUUGGGUUCCUUAGGGAUUGACUGAUUUAAAUCUUUGAUGUGCGCUUCUUCAGCUUAAGGUUAGGUUGUGGAUGUUGGACUUGCAGUUAGAAAAUUCAAGAAAGGCGAAGAAGUUGUAGCCAUGCUUGGAACAACGACUAGAGGUGGAUUAGUUGAGUAUGCAGUAGCAAAGCAAGAAGUGAUGGUUCUAAGGCCACUUGAACUAUCAGCUGGUGAAUGUGCCGCAUUAGGCACUCGAGGGUUAACCGCUUACCAAUGCCUCAUCACAGCGGGAGUAGUCCUUUGAAAAGACACCCACCUAUGAACAUACUAACUGCUGCAGCUUGAGGUGGUGUUGGUCACUAUGCAGUUCAGGUCGCAAAGCUAGGGAACAUUCAUGUCACUAUAACAUGUGGCUCUUGCAACAUUGAUUUUGUGAAGAAGACCUAAAGGAUGAGUUGGAUUUGUUAGGUAGUUUAGUUUGGUUGGAUUUGUUUUGAACUUUGGUUUGUAUGAAUGAUUAGUUAAUUUUGCUGUUGAUAUAGUAAACUUUUGAAUAGUUGUUUAAUGUUGCAGUACCACACAUAUAUUCAGAUAUUUAGUACAAAA